rnacentral:rRNA from 1 species
AGUGAACGCUGGCGGUAGGCCUAACACAUGCAAGUCGAACGGCAGCACAGUAAGAGCUUGCUCUUACGGGUGGCGAGUGGCGGACGGGUGAGGAAUACAUCGGAAUCUACUUUUUCGUGGGGGAUAACGUAGGGAAACUUACGCUAAUACCGCAUACGACCUACGGGUGAAAGCAGGGGAUCUUCGGACCUUGCGCGAUUGAAUGAGCCGAUGUCGGAUUAGCUAGUUGGCGGGGUAAAGGCCCACCAAGGCGACGAUCCGUAGCUGGUCUGAGAGGAUGAUCAGCCACACUGGAACUGAGACACGGUCCAGACUCCUACGGGAGGCAGAAGUGGGGAAUAUUGGACAAUGGGCGCAAGCCUGAUCCAGCCAUACCGCGUGGGUGAAGAAGGCCUUCGGGUUGUAAAGCCCUUUUGUUGGGAAAGAAAAGCAGCAGGUUAAUACCCCGCUGUUCUGACGGUACCCAAAGAAUAAGCACCGGCUAACUUCGU